rnacentral:tRNA from 1 species
GGGGAUUUAGCUCAGUGGUAGAGCGUUUGCCUAGCAAGCGCAAGGCUCUGGGUUCGGUCCCCAGCUCCG